CAGUGAAAUUGAACUCGCUGUGAAGAUGCAGUGUACCCGCGGCAAGACGGAAAGACCCCGUGAACCUUUACUAUAGCUUGACACUGAACAUUGAGCCUUGAUGUGUAGGAUAGGUGGGAGGCUUUGAAGUGUGGACGCCAGUCUGCAUGGAGCCGACCUUGAAAUACCACCCUUUAAUGUUUGAUGUUCUAACGUUGGCCCCUUAUCGGGGUUGCGGACAGUGUCUGGUGGGUAGUUUGACUGGGGCGGUCUCCUCCUAAAGAGUAACGGAGGAGCACGAAGGUUGGCUAAUCCUGGUCGGACAUCAGGAGGUUAGUGCAAUGGCAUAAGCCAGCUUGACUGCGAGCGUGACGGCGCGAGCAGGUGCGAAAGCAGGUCAUAGUGAUCCGGUGGUUCUGAAUGGAAGGGCCAUCGCUCAACGGAUAAAAGGUACUCCGGGGAUAACAGGCUGAUACCGCCCAAGAGUUCAUAUCGACGGCGGUGUUUGGCACCUCGAUGUCGGCUCAUCACAUCCUGGGGCUGAAGUAGGUCCCAAGGGUAUGGCUGUUCGCCAUUUAAAGUGGUACGCGAGCUGGGUUUAGAACGUCGUGAGACAGUUCGGUCCCUAUCUGCCGUGGGCGCUGGAGAACUGAGGGGGGCUGCUCCUAGUACGAGAGGACCGGAGUGGACGCAUCACUGGUGUUCGGGUUGUCAUGCCAAUGGCACUGCCCGGUAGCUAAAUGCGGAAGAGAUAAGUGCUGAAAGCAUCUAAGCACGAAACUUGCCCCGAGAUGAGUUCUCCCUGACCCUUUAAGGGUCCUGAAGGAACGUUGAAGACGACGACGUUGAUAGGCCGGGUGUGUAAGCGCAGCGAUGCGUUGAGCUAACCGGUACUAAUGAACCGUGAGG
rnacentral:rRNA from 1 species